rnacentral:misc_RNA from 1 species
GAUGAAGAACGCAGCGAAAUGCGAUAAGUAAUGUGAAUUGCAGAAUUCAGUGAAUCAUCGAAUCUUUGAACGCACAUUGCGCCCGCCAGUAUUCUGGCGGGCAUGCCUGUUCGAGCGUCAUUUCAACCCUCAAGCCCUGCUUGGUGUUGGGGAUCGGCGUUGCCUCCUCCGUCGUUCGCGGCGGGGUGAGGUCGCCGCCCCCGAAAUGAAUUGGCGGUCUCGUCGCAGCUUUCCUUUGCGUAGUAACAUACCACCUCGCGACCAGGAGCGCGGCGCGGCCACUGCCGUAAAACGCCCAACUUUUUCAAGAGUUGACCUCGAAUCAGGUAGGAAUACCCGCUGAACUUAAGCAUAUCAAUAAGCGGAGGA